GAGGUUGUGGCUCAGAGGUAGAGCGCUUGCCUAGCAUGCGUGAGGCACUGGGUUCAAUCCUCAGCACCACA
rnacentral:tRNA from 1 species